UACGGGGGGGGUAAGCGUUGUUCGGAAUUACUGGGCGUAAAGGGCUCGUAGGCGGCCAACUAAGUCGGACGUGAAAUCCCUCAGCUUAACUGGGGAACUGCGUCCGAUACUGGAUGGCUUGGAUUUGGGAGAGGGAUGCGGAAUUCCAGGUGUAGCGGUGAAAUGCGUAGAUAUCUGGAGGAACACCGGUGGCGAAGGCGGCCUGCUGGGCAGUGGCUGGACGCUGAUGCGCGACAGCGUGGGGAGCAAACAGGG
rnacentral:rRNA from 1 species